rnacentral:rRNA from 1 species
UACGUAGGUGGCAAGCGUUAUCCGGAUUUAUUGGGCGUAAAGGGAACGCAGGCGGUCUUUUAAGUCUGAUGUGAAGGCCUUCGGCUUAACCGGAGUAGUGCAUUGGAAACUGGGAGACUUGAGCGCAGAAGAGGAGAGUGGAACUCCAUGUGUAGCGGUGAAAUGCGUAGAUAUAUGGAAGAACACCAGUGGCGAAAGCGGCUCUCUGGUCUGUAACUGACGCUGAGGCUCGAAAGCGUGGGUAGCAAACAGG